rnacentral:piRNA from 1 species
UGAAACCCCAUGUGAUCCUUCACAUUGAUCU